GGGACAGUGGCCAUGGGCUUCCACCCAGCUGGACGGGGCUGCAGCUGGGCCUGCCUGACGGUAAUAAAGAAUGUGGAGAGCUCGCUUGCCCGCCACAGCCCAGCGGCAGGAAACAUCCCGAGAGCACCUGCUUCCUGAGGGCCCUGCAGGGCUCCUGGGCACCAUCUGGGCGCUGCCCCGAGUGCUGUUUGCAUUAGGAGUUUAGAAAAACAAUUCGGCUUUGACUGAUCGCUCUGUAAUUUUCUCAGGCGCAUCCCAGGGUCUCACCCUGCCCCCCUGCCUCUGUCCUUGCCAGCUCUUCUCAGGAGUUCCUAGGCCGACACACACACACCACACUCACACCACACACAAGCCGCUGCAACACACUCACAUGCACACACAUAUACACACAUUCUCACACACACGCACUAUUGCAGCUCACGCACGUGCCCUCGCCUUCUACAGUUCUCAGGGAUACCCUACUCUCUUCUCAGAGGUGGGGCCCUCGCCUCUUUGGGAUCGGCAGGGGAAGGGUCAGCAGUCCUGGGAGCUCAGGGUGGGAGCGGCUGUGGAGCAUGGGGCCUGCAGCCGGACGCCGGGGCUGAAUCCCGGGUCUGCGGCACCUCGCCCGCUAUCUGCGCUUCCGUCGCCUCUGUCGUUGAAGACUGAGGCUGCCGCUGGCCCCUCAGCCCUGCUCAGAACAGCGCCUGGCUCAGAGGAAGCGCGACACGUGUUCAUUGUUAAAAAUUCCAGCAACUCAAGGAAUUCCGGCCGGUUGACGAGGUGCAUUGUGGAGCCUGGCGCCCUACCCUGCCCUGCCCCCACCCCCACUCCACUGGGCCAGCUCACCAUCUGGGGGCUUGGAAGUCACCAUCAGCCAUUAAGAAGGUGUGCACCUGCCCCCGGGCCUUUGCAAGGGCUGCUCCCUCUUCUGGAAAGCCAAGGCUUGCUUCCUCACGUCCCUUGAGAUUCCACUCAAAUGUCACCUUCUCUGUUUAAAGCCUUCCCCCGCCCCUCCCAGCUCCGUUGCCCACCUUCACGGACUUGGCUUCUGCAGCUGUUCCUCUCUGGAAUGCGUGUGGAAGGCAGGAAGUCCUGCUGCGGGCCCAGGACGCCCGGGACGAGGCCGGGCCUUAGAAGGCGUUUGAUGAACAACUUCGUCUGAGGGGGCGAAGAGCACGUCCCUGAGGGCUUGUUUGAGGCCUGAGGGGGCCCACAGGCGAGCCUGACCGCUCUGACCGGGAGCGAGCGCGCAGUGGGAGAAUUGUUGUCAUCGUUAGUAGUAGUGGUAAUGUUGUGGUUUUGGUGGCUGUUUGUUGGAAGCCCGCGGUAGACCAGCAAACAUUCCCUCUUCUUCUGAUAACCCAUCCCGUUCCCUCUGGGAACCGCCCCCCACACUGUGGGCCCACGGCAAUGGGCUCAGAGAUGGGCAUGAUCCAAAGUCAACCAGAGACAUUCCCCAUUUCCUGAUGGCUGAGCAGAUGCAAUGGCUGGCACUGCUGCAGCUGUCUCUCCACCAGGCGGAGAGUGAAGCAUCAGAGGUGAGCCAGGCUGAAGGACAGAGAGAGGCCUGAGCCAGGCAGCAGUGACGGUGCUCAGACCCCUUCUCAGUCUGGGCCUAAUCCACGUCUGGUCUUUCAGCUGCUUAUGUCAAUAACACUCAUUUCAGUUAAGCCCAUUCAGGUUAGGUCGCUGUCACUUGCCACCAGCAAGGUCCUGCUUGAUCUAGAAUCUGACGUGGAAUCCUC
ensembl:lncRNA